rnacentral:rRNA from 1 species
GAUGAACGCUAGCUACAGGCUUAACACAUGCAAGUCGAGGGGAAACGGCAUCGAAAGCUUGCUUUUGAUGGGCGUCGACCGGCGCACGGGUGAGUAACGCGUAUCCAACCUGCCCAUCACUUGGGAAUAACCUUGCGAAAGUAAGACUAAUGCCCAAUGACAUCCCACGAAGGCAUCCGAAUGGGAGUAAAGAUUUAUCGGUGAUGGAUGGGGAUUCGUCUGAUUAGCUUGUUGGCGGGGUGACGGCCCACCAAGGCAACGAUCAGUAGGGGUUCUGAGAGGAAGGUCCCCCACAUUGGAGCUAAGACCCGGUCCAAACUCCUACGGGAGGCAGCAGUGAGGAAUAUUGGUCAAUGGGCGAGAGCCUGAACCAGCCAAGUAGCGUGCAGGAUGACGGCCCUAUGGGUUGUAAACUGCUUUUAUAAGGGAAUAAAGUGGGUCACGUGUGACUUUUUGCAUGUACCUUAUGAAUAAGGACCGGCUAAUUCCGUG